rnacentral:rRNA from 1 species
UACGUAGGUGGCAAGCGUUGUCCGGAUUUACUGGGCGUAAAGAGCGCGCGAGGCGGUCGUUCAAGUCGCGUGUGAAAGCCCCCGGCUCAACUGGGGAGGGUCACGCGAUACUGAUCGACUGGAAGGCAGGAGAGGGUAGUGGAAUUCCCGGUGUAGUGGUGAAAUGCGUAGAUAUCGGGAGGAACACCAGUGGCGAAGGCGGGUCUCUGGGCCGAUACUGACGCUGAGGAGCGAAAGCGUGGGGAGCGAACGAGG